UACGGGGGGGGCAAGCGUUGUUCGGAAUUACUGGGCGUAAAGGGCUCGUAGGUGGCCAACUAAGUCAGACGUGAAAUCCCUCGGCUUAACCGGGGAACUGCGUCUGAUACUGGAUGGCUUGAGUUUGGGAGAGGGACGCGGAAUUCCUGGUGUAGCGGUGAAAUGCGCAGAUAUCAGGAGGAACACCGGUGGCGAAGGCGGAUCUCUGGGCCUUACCUGACGCUCAGGUGCGAAAGCUAGGGGAGCGAACAGG
rnacentral:rRNA from 1 species